GACAGCAGAGUUGCGUUCUUCAUACAAAAACCCAGGAUCAGAUUCUGUCAGUGGUUUUAAAUCAGAGCUAGAAUAAGCCCCGCCCAUCAUCUCACUCAGCAUCCACUGUCUUCCUAAAGCUCAGUCAGCUUAGCAGCAGCUCAUGACACGGUUGGAUUUUCACUAGUGUUAGUAAAGGUAAUGGGAGUAAAGUCAACAUGAUUACUUUGCUGCUUUUGUGUUUUGUCUCAGGUAUUAGUCUGGGUCUUGAGGUCCGCCAGUCUCCCUCUGAUCUCUUCACUAAUCCUGAUGGCAAAGUUCAGAUUUUCUGCACACACGAUAAAACCGACUUCAGAGUGAUGCUCUGGUACCAGAGGUCACCUGGAGACACAGCUAUGAAGCUCAUCGGAUAUCUGUACCACAAAGCUGUCUCAAUGGAGGACCAGUAUAAGGAUGGGUUUGACCUUACUGGGGAUUUAGGCGGAGAUGCGACAAAGAAUGGAUCUCUGCUCAUUAAAAAUGUAAAACCUGGACAAAGUGCUGUUUACUUCUGUGCAGCAAGCAGAGCACAAUGA